ACCUAUAUAAUUCUCACGUACAAGAUUAGGGUUUUGUGUCUCCGUGUUCGCUGCGUAGCCGUCGUCGCUGCUUGCCUCCCCACUAAGCUCAUCCCCUCUCCUAAUAUGGCCGUCGGAAAGAAUAAGAGGAUUUCCAAGGGGAAGAAGGGAGGCAAGAAGAAGGCGGCCGAUCCGUUUGCGAAGAAGGAUUGGUACGAUAUCAAAGCACCUUCAGUGUUCGCAGUAAAAAAUGUGGGCAAAACCCUUGUUACUCGCACUCAGGGUACCAAGAUUGCCUCUGAAGGGCUCAAACAUAGAGUCUUUGAGGUAUCAAUGGCUGAUCUUCAGGAUGAUGAGGAUCAUGCAUACAGAAAGAUCAGAUUGAGAGCUGAGGAUGUUCAAGGGAAGAAUGUCCUGACCAAUUUCUGGGGAAUGGAUUUUACCACAGACAAGUUGAGGUCUUUGGUAAGGAAAUGGCAGACAAUGAUCGAGGCUCAUGUGGAUGUGAAGACUACUGACAAUUACAGUUUGAGGAUGUUCUGCAUUGGAUUUACUAAGAGGCGGCAAAACCAAGUCAAGAGGACCUGUUAUGCCCAGUCCAGCCAAAUUAGACAGAUCCGUCGUAAGAUGAGGGAGAUCAUGAUCAACCAGGCAUCGUCUUGCGAUCUGAAGGAGUUGGUUCGCAAAUUCAUCCCCGAGUCAAUUGGCAAAGAGAUCGAGAAGGCAACCUCGGGCAUCUACCCUCUACAAAAUGUGUUUAUUCGGAAAGUCAAGAUUUUGAAGGCUCCAAAAUUUGAUCUUGGAAAGUUGAUGGAGGUGAGUCUAUCUAUCUAGCUAUUUGUUGUUGUAUGCGCACAAUAGAGAUUAUCAAAGAGUUCAUAAAGGUUCAUGGUGACUAUUCAGAUGAUGUUGGUGUCAAGGUGGAGAGGCCCGCUGAUGAGACUAUGGUGGAGGUGCCUGCUGAACCAGUUGGAGCCUGAAUGUAGGAUUAUGAAGUUGCCUUUUAGCUUAUGCUAUUUCUUUUUUUUGGCAUGAGAAUUGUGUUGCUCGAUUCUUUUUAUUAUGAACGCAGUUUUGCGAAUUUGUCGUUAACAAACAAUUUUGGUCUGUUCAAUCAAAGUGGACAACUUCUUGUUUUCAUCCGAAAUGUUUGUUUUAAGAAAGAUGCUAUAUAUUACACCUUUGAUCUCACUCUUA